UACGGAGGGGCUAGCGUUGUCCGAAGUUACUGGGCGUAAAGCGCGCGUAGGCGGGUUGGUAAGUCCGCUGUGAAAGCCCGGAGCUCAACUCCGGAGGGUCGGUGGAUACUGCCAGUCUUGAAGGUGCUAGGGGGAGAUGGAAUUACCGGUGUAGCGGUGAAAUGCGUAGAUAUCGGUAGGAACACCAGUGGCGAAGGCGGUCUCCUGGGGCAUUCUUGACGCUGAGGCGCGAAAGCUGGGGGAGCAAACGGG
rnacentral:rRNA from 1 species